GGACGAACGCUGGCGGCGUGCUUAACACAUGCAAGUCGAGCGGUAAGGCCCUUUCGGGGGUACACGAGCGGCGAACGGGUGAGUAACACGUGGGUGACCUGCCCUCAGCUCUGGGAUAAGCCUGGGAAACUGGGUCUAAUACUGGAUAUGACUCCACGGUGCAUGUCGUGGGGUGGAAAGCCUUGUGCGGCUGAGGAUGGGCCCGCGGCCUAUCAGCUUGUUGGUGGGGUGAUGGCCUACCAAGGCGACGACGGGUAGCCGGCCUGAGAGGGCGACCGGCCACACUGGGACUGAGACACGGCCCAGACUCCUACGGGAGGCAGCAGUGGGGAAUCUUGCGCAAUGGGCGAAAGCCUGACGCAGCGACGCCGCGUGAGGGAUGACGGCCUCGGUGUAA
rnacentral:rRNA from 1 species